CUCUACAAAGCUCUACAUUGCACCGCCACUCACUAACCGCCGAUUCUGGAACUGUUUUCGUUUCCAAUCUUGAUUCGUCUCUUUCCAGUAGCCUUGUAUUUGACGAAUCAAUCGCCGGUUGUGCUCGAAAUGGCGAGCUAUCUAUGGAGGAAGUAUGCCGAUUAUCUCUACACUAAGUGGGAAAGAACGAUUCUAUGGGACAUGGUUGAUCCGUAUAGGCGACCUAAAUCGUUUACGCCUUUGGUUACUAUCUAUAUUGCUGCCUUUUACACUGGAGUCGUCGGCGCUGCCAUUACCGAGCAACUCUACAAGGAGAAGUAUUGGGAAGAUCACCCUGGGGAAGAUGUACCUCUAAUGAAACCAAAGUUUUAUUAUGGACCCUGGAGAGUAAUGAGGGGUGAAGUCCCUGCACACACCAAGUGAAAGCUCUAGCAAGUUAAUGGCUCGAGUAUUUGCUGUUUGCUCAAGAAACUGGCUCUACCAAAAUGGCUUCAACCUCCUUCUUCCUUACAUGGCACCCUCCACUUUCACUCCCCCUGCCCUCCUCUCAAUGUCUUCCCCGUCCCCUUCCCCCGACCCCAUCUCUGUAACAGGCAAAGGAGGAGGGAUAUGGGGACGUAUGGAACAAUUCCAACAGAGCCAGUCCCUUUAUCAAACCUGCAUUACACUUCUUAGGCAAGCGCAUGCAUCGCAUUAGGCCUCAGCUCACGAAGGCCAUGGAAGGCCAUUUCUGAGCUUUUGUGAUGUCCCACGUUGGUUGGGGAAGAGAACAAACCACCAUUUACAAGGGUGUGGAAA